rnacentral:misc_RNA from 1 species
AACGCACAUUGCGCCCCCUGGUAUUCCGGGGGGCAUGCCUGUUCGAGCGUCAUUUAAACCCUCAAGCUCAGCUUGGUGUUGGGGCCUGCCCACCGGCAGCCCUUAAAAUCAGUGGCGGUGCCAUCUGGCUCUAAGCGUAGUAAUUUCUCUCGCUAUAGGGUCCCGGUGGAGACUUGCCAAAACCCCCAAUUUUUCUAUGGUUGACCUCGGAUCAGGUAGGGAUACCCGCUGAACUUAA